rnacentral:lncRNA from 1 species
CGAGGGGGGGCGGAGACUAGACGAGACACUGCCUGAUGCUUGGCAUUACAACUAAACUAAACCUAGGUUGUCUGUUCCUCUGAGACACGGGUGGAGCGCCCCCUGGAGGCGACAGACGGCAAGAAUUGGGGAAAAGGCUUGGGGCCUUCCAAGGUGUUAAGAGGGAGGUGCACUUGCUCCUUGCCCCAGGCUGUCCUCCUGUAGGUGGAGUCUGCUAGGGAGUGCCUUGCCUGGAAGGGCAAAGGGCUCUGUCUUCUAGCCUCUACCAACUGACAAGUCUCAGUCACCAGGCCUUGACUCUCUAAGCUCAUAGAAAGGUAAGCGACUCCAGAGCACUCAGUAGCAUUUCUGUAGGGCUGUGUGGGAACUCCUUUCUCCUCAGGAGCUUCAAACACUGUCCAUUCUGCAAAGUCCCAUAGUCUACUUCCCGGCUAGCCAGACUAAGGGUCUCCUUUACAAGAUGCCGGCGCAGCACCCCCUGGAGGCAAAGGGUGGUAAAACUGAGUGGAAAUAGCAUGAGGCAGGGCAGAGGCAGGGCAGAAGGACCCAGGGUGAGGCUUCUCCUUCUGACAAGCCCCAGGUCACUGCCUCCUCAUCCAUCACUCCCCAACAGAACCCAGAAUCCCAAGCGGCAGGAGCACUGGGGGACACCCGGGCGGAACCUUCCCUGGAGCAAGUACUGCAGGAGAGGGAUGAAGCCAUUGCUAAGAAGCGCGCGGUGGAAGAGGAGCUGGACUCCUGUCGAGCCAGGCUGCGCACAGUGGAGGCUCAGCUGCUGGAGGUCCUGCAGGAGAAACUGAAGCUGAAACAGGAGGUGGAGGCCUGGGAGGAAGACAUGCAGCAUAUGGUUCGAGAGCGGGUGCGGAGUCAGCUGCAGGGAGAGCCCAGAGGCACCCUGGGAACACACGAGAACACAAGCCCGGGCAGAAGUUCCUGGAUUCAACUCUCCCGGGGUCAGUGGGGGCGACGGUGGUGAAAACGGAUCCAGGGCUUAAAGGGGAACUGUCUUUAUUCAUUAAAAGUGUUGGGCCACUUCUGUACUCCUGGACCCUCUCCGUGCCCCUGAGUUUUUCUGUGCAGAAGCAAGAUGGCACAGAUCCCAAGCCUAGAGUCCCCUGGCUGCUCUUCCAAGGAGCUACUUCUUAAGCCAAGAAGCUGGUGACAGCAUCCAUGAAGUCUUGGGGUUUGUCGCUGUGGACCCAGUGGCCAGCGUUAGGCACGGUCUGAAUCUGGGCUUGAGGGAAGAGUCGCCUAAUCUCUGAGUGGUGGCUGGGUCUGGCCGCCAUAGUGAAGCCAAUGGAGAGGGAAGACAAUGGAGAGGUGUGGGGAGAGGGAGAAAGGGAGAGAGAGAGAACAGGAGAGAGAGAUGUGCAUGAGCCUUCAUGCGCAGUGGUAUUGCCAGGCUCCCAGAUACCCCGCCUCCCCUAGCCCACGCAGGCUCCCAUAGCUGGUGGUGGGCAAAGCAUGCCCCUUCCUAUGGUCCCACACCGGCUUACUGUACAUAUGUAGAAUUUCCACCAAGCAGGAAGAGAGUUGGCCCCGAGUAGGGUUCACGUUGCUGAGGAAAGGUCAUUAUCUUGUCCAAGUGCUGAGCUAACGUAUCCAAGUUCAGUCUCCAGGAGAAUCGCCCACCCACCUCUACCAGGUUAGUGAGCAGGAACUGCCGAAUGCCCGCUUCCUGUGGGGAGACCUGGCAGCUGUGAAGGGGCUCCCUGUGAGGCCCACCCACCACUUUUCCUCUGACACACACCAUGGGGAAAGGGGGGGGGGGCGUGCGUCACCUUGACAACCGAACUAAGCUGCUUAUCCGCCAGUUUUCGGGCUUGGGAGUGCGGCACCUUCUCUGGGAUCUCAACAGCCUUCAUGGCUGCUAUGAAGGCUCCAAUGUGUGAUCCAGGUGUGGUUCCUACCGGGCUUAUGUCUACAACAACCAAUCGUUCCACAACAUCUGGCUGGGAGACAGAAUCAGACCAGAGCAGGUCCCAGACAAACUCUGAGCCGCCAGCAGAGUUUCUGGACCUGGCCAUCCAAAGUGUGGAUGAGUCCCACGUUAUCAAUGGGCUUAGAGUGCAUUAAGAGGACCCAGAUAGGUGUAGCUUACCCUCUGCAGUGCCAGGAGCAUGGCUGUCUUUCCUCCCAUGCUGUGGCCAACGAGGACGCAGGGCACCAGACCCAGCUGUGGAAGGAGGCCCUGAAGGUCCUGACUCAUGGCCUCAUAGCUUGCGUCUGGACUGUGGGGGCUGUCACCGUGGUUCCGGGCAUCCACCGUCAGCACC